GCAGCAGCAGCAGUAAAGGAACAGCUCAGCUGCCGAGGAGGACGGAGAGGAGACAGGUCUUAGUGUCCGUCCCACGUACUGCCAAUUGCAGCAGCAGAUAUACAGUAUUCUGUUGGUGGAGUCACAGAUCCUACUGUCCGCCCCGCGUGCUGCCAGUUGGAGCUGCAUCCAGCAGAUAUACAGUGUUGUGUUGGUGGAGGCACAGGUUCUUCAGGUUACAGCAUUUUCCGCAGUGGAUGAUCCGCCCGUUUGCUCUGUAACUGAGAUAUAUAAAAUUACAGAUGGAAAGUGAAUUCUGCAAUCAGUCGGCUCGUGGGGUACAGGAAGAGUGCACUUACAUCAAAUGGAAACAGAUUUCAGCUCAUUUCCAAGAGCUAUUUACCUGUAAAACCAAACAGAAAGAUCAGGGCAAAUCCAUCAAGAGCAAAUGUAAGGAAACGCUCCGGCCCUACAAAACAAAUACAGAUGAACUGGAACGUCCUGUAGGUACUGUAAACGAAAAGGUCGAAUUUGUAUUUCCUGACAAACGCAUGGGAUACACGGUUAUUUUCUAUGCCUUAGACGUGGCGCUUGAUAGGGACAUAACGUUAAUUAGCUAGGCUGUUGUUU